rnacentral:rRNA from 1 species
AAGAGACAGCAGCAGCCGCGGUAAUACGUAGGGUGCAAGCGUUAAUCGGAAUUACUGGGCGUAAAGCGUGCGUAGGCGGCUUCUUAAGUCGGAUGUGAAAUCCCUGAGCUUAACUUAGGAAUUGCAUUCGAUACUGGGAAGCUAGAGUAUGGGAGAGGAUGGUAGAAUUCCAGGUGUAGCGGUGAAAUGCGUAGAGAUCUGGAGGAAUACCGAUGGCGAAGGCAGCCAUCUGGCCUAAUACUGACGCUGAGGUACGAAAGCAUGGGGAGCAAACAGGAUUAGAUACCCCAGUAGUCCCUGUCUCUUAUAC